UGGCAGCUAAAUGGAUCUCCUCAGGGUCCAGCAUAUCUCAAGGCUGCCAUAGUACAUAUUUUGAGAUCACAUGGUUACAUGUGACUUUGGUGAAUCCGAAUCUGGUAGACCAGAAACUGCCAUGUUCUGCAAGGUGAAUGGCUUUAAAGACAGCACAAAUGGAUAUACCGGCUUCAGUUUUCCAUCGUUAAGGGUUGUCUGACGGAAAGAUAAAGCACUGUAAAUAUUCUAAAUGUACACUUGAACUGAUUUUUUUAGGUGGGUGUAUUUUUUUGCUGCGGCCCCCAUCCACAGCAGUACAUUGCUUAGGUCCCGUGCUGGUACUCUGGACUGCUUCUCCAAACUGGGGGCGUGCCGACUGCAGCCUACUAUAGGUCUUGAUUUACACCUUGAUGCUUAAACAGUGUGCAGACCGGAAGAUGAUUUAACGUCACAGGGACUGGCAGUGAAGAGCUUAACAGGAAAGCAGUCAACAUCCCAUAAAGCUUUGCAUCAGAUUGUGAAAAAGCAAUUUAACCAGAAGGAUAUGAAUUGUUUGGUAUUACACACGUUUAUCUGAGGGAGAGACUUCUUUAAAUGUCACUAUAAGCGUGUGUGCACAGAGAAAGCCAAGUUCCCAUGGUAGACUGAUAAGAAAACAGAGGACUGUGCAGAGCUUCAGCUGUAAUAUCCGACGUCAAAGAGAAGCAGAAACAGGAGAUUGGCUGUUGUGUCGAUUGAGUCGUCAGCUCCUGUUGAACGCUUCCUCCAAAUUACAACUAGACCCUUGAUUAUAGAUAGACAGUGAGGAAGUGAAGAAAGUGGCUUCCACACAAUCUGGAUUUCAGUCAAACACAGGUCCAUGCUGUGACAACCGUGUUAAAGUCAUUGGAUGAGAUAAAUGGCCUCCUCCAGAGACAGAUUGCUAACUGUUAAAUUUAGAGCACAUCACCGCCCAUUUGCCGCCUCCCUGUAGGGCAGCCAAGAUGAUCAAGUGUAUUGUAAUGUGUGAUCACCUUAACUUUCAAGGAACCACAAUUUUCUUUUUUGAUGGAAAGGAAACGUUUACAAGAAACUUGUUAUGCAUUUUCAUCUGUGCCUGCAUUUUCACCACAGGACCCAAUGUAGUAUUUUCUGAUGGACCAGGGACAAUCAGGGUGAAGAUUGCAGAGUUGAACACCCCUGAUAAAACAUAAACCUCAAGAUUGAUACAACUUUUUGGUGUUGCACUGGUUGUCGCCUUGUAUCAGUAUUUUACCUUGGAAUGGGAAUUUUGCUUAAUGUUGUUGAUGUCUAAAAAAAGUCAUGGGGCUAACAGACUACCCUAAAAAGAAGUGUAAUAUAGAGAGUGGGCAAGCCAGAAAAACUAAAUUGAAAUUUAAGAUUAUUUGCUAAUUGUUUUUAGACCCUGACACUUUCUGGAUUUUUGAGGGAGAUACUGGUAAUGAUAUUUGAGAGUUACAAGAAUCAGAUAAUG